rnacentral:rRNA from 1 species
CAGCAGCCGCGGGAACACGUAGGGUGCAAGCGUUAAUCGGAAUUACUGGGCGUAAAGCGUGCGCAGGCGGUUAUAUAAGACAGAUGUGAAAUCCCCGGGCUCAACCUGGGAACUGCAUUUGUGACUGUAUAGCUAGAGUACGGCAGAGGGGGAUGGAAUUCCGCGUGUAGCAGUGAAAUGCGUAGAUAUGCGGAGGAACACCGAUGGCGAAGGCAAUCCCCUGGGCCUGUACUGACGCUCAUGCACGAAAGCGUGGGGAGCAAACAGGAUUAGAUACCCCUGUAGUCCCUGUCUCUUAUAU